rnacentral:lncRNA from 1 species
AAAAAUGAAAUAGUCCAAGCUAGCAUUGGGCAUGAACUCAUAGAUUAGCAUCCUUUCUUCUCCUUCAAGGCAGCAACCCAAUAGCUUGACAAGGUUUCUAUGUUGCAGCUUGGAAAUGAGAGCGAUUUCAUUUUUUAACUCUUGAAAGCCUUGUCCAGAAUGCUUCGAUAGUCUUUUUACUGCAAUAUCUUGUCCAUUUGGUAGGAUACCCUGCAAUUUUCUAUCAAGAGUCAAAGAUGCCACUUCUAGCUAGACGUCGAGUGUCAAAGUUGAUUUACCUUGUAAACCGGUCCAAAGCCUCCCUCUCCAAUCACAUUAGCAGAAGAGAAGUUAUCAGUAGCAGUAGUAACAGUAACUAAAUCAAACAAUGGAAGCUCCAUGUCCUCAUUUUCAACUUCUAAUCCUGUCAAUAACAUUCGCCCACCACAAACAUGAUAUCAAUGAGAAUUUGGUAAAGGCGAACAAUGUCAGCCAGAUAGACAAGAGUAUCUCAAGUAUAUAUAUACCUCUUCUUCUUUUCCUUCUUCGGAAGUAAAACCAAGCUAAAAAGCUGAGGAUAAAUGUUGCUACCACUGCUGAAAUGACGCCAAUCAGGGCUGCCCUCUUUCUCCUCCCCUUCCUGUCUGAAUAAGUUCAAUUUACAUAUGAGUUGGCCAUAUCAGUAAUGAAUUGCAUUGAUUGUAUUACUUCUUAUUUUGCUUGGAAGCUCUGCAGACUUGCUAAUCAGUACUAACUAUUAAAGGAGUGUGUACGACCAUCCCCCGCUGUUAACAUUUUUGAUCUUUCAUGAGGUCUAGCACAUCAGAAGCUAAGAGCCAGCAUUCCUAAAAUCCCUUGGAGGAAACAGUUAAGUAACAAUCUUUGCUCUCCUUAUAUGGUUAUUCAUUCUGAAUAUAGCUGCUAGUGUAAAACUCUAUACAAAAGAAAGUCUGCAACAACGGGGACUAGUGGAUGAUCUGAGAAGCAAAUGUGUACAGCUACUAGAUGGAUACGUUUGUACUAGACUAUCAAAACCCUCCUUAGGGGGAAACAAUUGUAGAUGUGCAGCCAUUUAAUGGCUGAUAAACAAUUUUAAUGUCUAUCAAGUAAAUAAGAUAGUAGAAUUCCUUCAAUUCUAAAUAGUUGUUUAUUUAUAUUGUACAACAAAAGGAGAAAAUGGUGCAGAGGGGAUCAUUACCUAAUUCUGAAGCUGCAACUCUCACAUACAGGUUUUGUUCAUUUUGGCUGAACCCGCGUAUAUCUAUGAGUUCACCAAACCAUAGUAAGCAUCCACUUCCGCCAUUUCUAACAUCAAGAUCUGAGUAGGCUGUACAAUUGCAAUCAGCCAAGCACAUUUUCUCGCAAUCUUCAAGGUUCAUGCUGUCAUUAUACCAGGAGUUUCUAGAAUCAGGCAUUUUGAUACCUGAAAAUUUAAGAAAACCAUCAUGGGUACAAUCCAAAGAAGUUCUCCUUAUGCAACCACUAGACCACUCUGUUGCAGAAUCUUGAGGAUACCUGUGAAGGCAUAAUUAAGUAACAAAAAAAGAAUCAAGCACACACAUGAGGGCCGUGUGAAAAGAUAAGUAUUCAAAAUUCAUAAGUGUGCUCUCUCUGAUAGCUUAAUGUGAGAUGAUACGAUAGUUUAACAAAUACAAACCUAGGCUCAAAACCUUUCAAACAGUCACAUGGAGGGGAGUUAUUGAUGUUGCAACUUGAAUAAGGUCCACAUAAACCAAAACGAUCACAAUUAUCAAAUUGUGCUGUCAAGUAGAGAAACCAGCUCUGACUGCGCUCUAUCCAUGUUAGGUGUUCUAGCACACCAGACGGAUUGAGCACCACCCUGGUGGGUAUGGAGUCAUUCUUAAUUGUAUAUGUGUAGUAAAUUUCCUGCUGAUUAAUAACAAACUCGAAACUGUAAUAUGUAUUUGGUUUAUUAUUAGGACUACCACUAAAUGCAAUACCAUUCCAUGGCCCUGAGCUAAAUACUAUAGAUGAAUUUUUCCACACAAACAAUUGUGGAUAUCCAUGUGAAUCAACACGAUCUACAUAAUCACCAGGAGUAGGAUCAUCUGUGCUCUUCCAUGACGUUAAAUGCCAAUUCAUUCCCGUGACAAAAUCUUUUCCUAGCCUCAUACCAGGUAACAAAGUAUUUCCUGGAUAGUCAAAACUCUGCCACGCGAAAUUAUUUUCCAGGCCUCUAUCAUUUCCAUCACUGACAACAAGGUUCCCUGAAUCCAGUAACCGUGCUUUUGGAUUCUUUAACAAUCUUGAUGAGUUUGAUGACCAAAUUGAGACAUUGGAUUUAUCAACAAGUACAAGAAUUCCAUUGGGAUUAAGUGUUAACACUCCUGAAGUGUCAUUAAGUGGAAUGCUUCUGUUUGCAACCCAGACAACAGUUCCAUUUGAUAUUUUCUUGUACCAUAUGCCAACGUAAUGAUUCUUCGAAUUUCCAGGGCUGAAAAAUCCAAGCUCAUAAACCCCUCCAGCUGAAACAAUUGUGUCACCAUCUCUAAUGGAUUUAUCUGUAGUGAUUGUGUCUAAUGCUGCAGAAGUUAGUAAAAUGAAGAGAAAUUGGUAGCAAAUGCAUAAAGAAAAUAGGCCUUUCAUAAAUUCUGAUUUUUUUUUUGAUUGACAAUGUUAAGGCCUUUGAGCCUCAACAUAGUUGAUAUAAAAAUUAGUAAUAACAAAAGAUUUAUUUGAUUGACAAAAAUUGAGUUUUUCUGCCCACCACUUUAGAAUUAACACAAAGUCAUGUUAAAUAUUCCUCUUAAACAGAAUAUGAAAAGAAAAACUCUUCUAUUAAAAUAAUAGUCAGGCACACCUGGACUAAUUACACUAUCUCUCACCAGCACAAAUACCCAGUUAUUCACAUCAAAGCCGGAAUAUGUUCUCCGACUUUUUCAUGUUUCAAUUUGAGGCUAAUAAUUACGGACCAACUUUGUGGACUACUAGGCUACAUCUCGUGGAUGUGAAAGUAUUUGAUUUUCGAUAACGCAGGUCGUUUGAUUCAAAACAAAAUUAAGAACACCAGUCAUUUGAUUCAAAAUAAGGUUGUGUUAAGAUUAUAAUUUUGCGAUUAUUACUAGAUAAAAUGAUCUCAUCUUUUUUAUAUGAGAUAUAUUGAUAAAUUCAUAAUUUUAGUAUGAAUUUUAUAUUGGAAAUAACCCCAAAUCUCUUCAACCAAACAAAUCCUUAUUAAUAAAGGUCUAUCACCGCUUCUUUGUUUAAUUAAUUUAAUUUACUGAUUAGUUGAGUAGCAGUAAUUGUUUCAACUUUUCUAUUGAGAGGGCAUAGAGGCGGCUAAUUAGAGUCCCAAAGUUGCACGCUGUUGACUAAUCAUAUGAUUAAAAUAAUGAUUUGAAGUGAUUUUAAAACUAUUAAAACUUAAUCAUGAUUAAAUUGUGGCAUAUUGUUACUCAUUUUAUUACCUAAACAUGCUCUAUUACAAUCUGUUUGGUCAAAUUUUCAAUAUUCACACAUUUUGAAAAGUGCUUUUUUUUUAAUACAAAUACUUUUUGAACCUUUUUUUUUUAUCAAAGCAAAUUUGUGUUUGACUUCUCACUUUUUCAUGGCCAAGGUUCCAAAAGUACUUGGGAGAAAAACACUACAGUAUUUUCGUUUACUUUACAACUUAAAAAAUAUUUUUAUUUUCUUUCUAAAAGCUUGAACAAAAACCUCUAACUCUCUAAAAUUAUUGCAUAUUGUCACCUCAUUUUUCCUUUUCAUAUUGUAAAGUCACCAUAUAAUAAGAUAACUAAGGAUAAAUAAUAAAAAAGGCAAGUUUUUGUCAUGCUGCAAAUAUGAUUUUCGUACUUGGAACUCUUGACAAGAACAUUACUGUCAUAUAUACACUAGAGCUCAUAUUGACAAUAAGAAAAAAGUGUGUACAUUUCAAAACUUUCAACUGGAAUUUUAUGUCUAUCUUGGCUCUAGAACUGUUAUCGACACGCUGCUACUUACAUAUACUUCAUCAGUUGAUGAUUCUGUUGAUUCCAUUGAAUUCCUCUCUAUGAAAAAACCAGGUUGCUUUGGUUGAGGAAGAACCAGACCUUCAUUGCCUAACCAGAAAACUACUGAUGCCAUUGUAGGCCUAUCCUCGGGGAGUUUUUGGACGCAUAACAAACCAACCUGGAUGCAUCUCAGCACUUGAGAUUCUGAAAAGGAUUCUUUGAUACAUUCGUCUAUCAGUUCCAACGCGUUGCCUUCAAUCCAAAGUAACCAUGCCUAAAUUACAAACAGAACAACACAUUCAUACAGUUGUAAUCACAAUAGAAAGCUAAGAGUGAAUAAAGGGAAUGAAGUUUUGUGCUUACAUGUCCCAAGAGAUUGUGAUGAUGUUCCAAAUGACGAAAUUUUCUGUUCUUUCUGCCACUAACUAUUUCAAGAAUGAUUACACCGAUGCUGAAUACAUCUGAUUUUACUGAGUAUUUCCCAUCAACAGCAUACUCCGGGGACAUAUAUCCACUGCAUCAACUCAAUAUAUUUAUGCUCAUGAUGUAAUGAUUAAAUGUAAUAAAGGUUCUGUGAUUUAAAGAUGUGUAGAAACUUACUAUGUCCCUAUUACUCUCUUAGUUUUUCCUUCCUCUUGGUCACCACCAAAAAUUUUGGCAAGGCCAAAGUCAGAAAUUUUGGCAUUCAUGUCAGUAUCUAAUAAAAUGUUGCUGGUCUUGAGAUCUCGGUGAAUAAUUCUCAAUCUUGAAUCCUGGUGAAGGUAAAGAAGACCACGAGAUAUUCCCAUAGCAAUUUCAAAACGAUUCUUCCAUCCAAGUGAAGCUUUUCUGCUUGGAUCUGCACAAUGCAGAACUAAUCAUUGAGUGAUCAGAGAUAUUGAAGGCUUGUUAAGUACUAGUAUAGCCAAUGAAUCACGAAAAAACAGACCAAAAAUGAAAUAGUCCAAGCUAGCGUUGGGCAUGAACUCAUAUAUUAGCAUCCGUUCUUCUCCUUCAAGACAGCAACCCAAUAACUUGACAAGGUUCCUAUGUUGCAGCUUGGAAAUGAGAACGAUUUCAUUUUUUAACUCUUGAAUGCCUUGUCCAGAAUACUUCGAUAGCCUCUUUACUGCUAUCUCUUGUCCACUUGGUAGGAUACCCUGCAAUUUUCUAUCAAGGGUUAAAGAUGCCACUU